rnacentral:rRNA from 1 species
AGAUUGUUGGUGAGGUAAAGGCUCACCAAGUCGACGAUCGUUAACUGGUCUGAGAGGAUGAUCAGUCAGACUGGAACUGAGACACGGUCCAGACUCCUACGGGAGGCAGCAGUGAGGAAUCUUCCACAAUGGACGAAAGUCUGAUGGAGCAACUCCGCGUGCAGGAUGAAGGCCUUCGGGUCGUAAACUGCUUUUAUGAGUGAAGAAUAUGACGGUAACUCAUGAAUAAGGGUCGGCUAACUACGUGCCAGCAGCCGCGGUCAUACGUAGGACCCAAGCGUUAUCCGGAGUGACUGGGCGUAAAGAGUUGCGUAGGUGGUUAGUAAAGUGAAUAGUGAAACCUGGUGGCUCAACCAUACAGACUAUUAUUCAAACUCACUAACUCGAGAAUGGUAGAGGUAACUGGAAUUUCUAGUGUAGGAGUGAAAUCCGUAGAUAUUAGAAGGAACACCAAUGGCGUAGGCAGGUUACUGGACCAUUUCUGACACUGAGGCACGAAAGCGUGGGGAGCGAACCGGAUUAGAUACCCGGGUAGUCCACGCCGUAAACGAUG